rnacentral:rRNA from 1 species
GACGAACGCUGGCGGCGUGCCUAAUACAUGCAAGUCGAACGCAGUGGGGCCGGGUGAGUAACACGUGGGUAACCUCCCAUCAGAGGGGAUAACCCUUGGAAACAGGUGCUAAACCGAUACAGCUGGAUGGAGCCGCGGUGCCUUAGCUAGUUGGUGAGGUAAAGGCUCACCAAGGCGACGAUGCAUAGCGGAACUGAGAGGCUGAUCGGCCAAACGGGAACUGAGACACGGCCCAGACUCCUACGGGAGGCAGCAGUAGGGAAUCUUCGGCAAUGGACGAAAGUCUGACCGAGCAACGCCGCGUGAGUGAAGAAGGUUUUCGGAUCGUAAAACUCUGUUGUUAGAGAAGCGGUAUCUAACCAGAAAGCCACGGCUAACUACGUGCCAGCCGCCGCGGUAAUAC